rnacentral:piRNA from 1 species
UCCCGCAAGUAUGACCGAGGGACUGGAAUGC